AACGAACGCUGGCGGCAUGCCUAACACAUGCAAGUCGAACGAUGGUCUUCGGAUCAUAGUGGCGCACGGGUGCGUAACGCGUGGGAAUCUGCCCUUGGGUUCGGAAUAACAGUUGGAAACGACUGCUAAUACCGGAUGAUGUCGAUAAGACCAAAGAUUUAUCGCCCGAGGAUGAGCCCGCGUCGGAUUAGCUAGUUGGUGGGGCAAAGGCCUACCAAGGCGACGAUCCGUAGCUGGUCUGAGAGGAUGAUCAGCCACACUGGGACUGAGACACGGCCCAGACUCCUACGGGAGGCAGCAGUGGGGAAUAUUGGACAAUGGGCGCAAGCCUGAUCCAGCAAUGCCGCGUGAGUGAUGAAGGCCUUAGGGUUGUAAAGCUCUUUUACCCGGGAAGAUAAUGACUGUACCGGGAGAAUAAGCCCCGGCUAACUCCGUG
rnacentral:rRNA from 1 species